UUCCGGUUGAUCCUGCCGGACCCGACUGCUAUCAGAAUAGGACUAAGCCAUGCGAGUCAACGUAGCAAUACGUGGCAUACGGCUCAGUAACACGUAGUCAACAUGCCCAGGGGACGUGGAUAACCUCGGGAAACUGAGGAUAAACCGCGAUAGACCAUAAUGUCUGGAUUCCGGUUGAUCCCGCCGGACCCGACUGCUAUCAGAGUAGGACUAAGCCAUGCGAGUCAACGUAUGAAUAAUACGUGGCGAACGGCUCAGUAACACGUAGUCAACAUGCCCAAAGGACGUGGAUAACCUCGGGAAACUGAGGAUAAACCGCGAUAGGUCAUAAUUACUGGAAUGUGUUAUGGCUCAAAUCUAUAUGGCCUUUGGAUUGGACUGCGGCCGAUCAGGCUGUUGGUGAGGUAAUGGCCCACCAAACCUGUAACCGGUACGGGCUCUGAGAGGAGGAGCCCGGAGAUGGGCACUGAGACAAGGGCCCAGGCCCUAUGGGGCGCAGCAGGCGCGAAAACUCUGNCAUAGGCGAAAGCCUGA
rnacentral:rRNA from 1 species